AUUGAACGCUGGCGGCAGGCCUAACACAUGCAAGUCGAGCGAGAAAGGUCUUCGGACUGAGUACAGCGGCGGACGGGUGAGUAAAGCGUAGGAAUCUACCUGGUAGUGGGGGAUAACUUGGGGAAACUCAAAACUAAUACCGCAUACGCCUACGGGGAAGCGGGGACCGUUCGGCCUCGCGCUAUCAGAUGAGCCUGCGUAGGAUUAGCUAGUUGGUGAGGUAAAGGCUCACCAAGGCGACGAUCCUUAGCUGGUCUGAGAGGAUGAUCAGCCACACUGGGACUGAGACACGGCCCAGACUCCUACGGGAGGCAGCAGUGGGGAAUAUUGCGCAAUGGGCGAAAGCCUGACGCAGCCAUGCCGCGUGUGUGAAGAAGGCCUUAGGGUUGUAAAGCACUUUCAAUUGGAAGAAAAGUUGGUCGUUAAUAGCGGCCAGCCCUGACAUUACCUUUAGUAAGAAGGACCGGCUAACUCCGUGCCAGCAGCCGCGGUAAAGUCG
rnacentral:rRNA from 1 species